CGAAAGCCUGACGGAGCAAUACCGCGUGAGGGAGGAAGGCUUUUGGGUUGUAAACCUCUUUUGUUAAGGAAGAAGAAAGUGACGGUACUUAACGAAUCAGCAUCGGCUAACUCCGUGCCAGCAGCCGCGGUAAUACGGAGGAUGCAAGCGUUAUCCGGAAUCAUUGGGCGUAAAGCGUCCGCAGGUGGUUAUUCAAGUCUGCCGUUAAAGACAGAAGCUCAACUUCUGAAUGGCGGUGGAAACUGGUUGACUAGAGUAUGGUAGGGGUUGAGGGAAUUCCCAGUGUAGCGGUGAAAUGCGUAGAUAUUGGGAAGAACACCAGUGGCGAAGGCGCUCGACUGGGCCGUAACUGACGCUCAUGGACGAAAGCCAGGGGAGCG
rnacentral:rRNA from 1 species